CUUAUUUUUCCUUCAAAAAGUAUUUCGGAUUAUUUUCCUUGCUUGCCUUGACAACCCUGGUCACUCAAGUCAAAAGCAUUUCCAUUAUGAUAAUCUUCUCCCUCACUCGUUCAGUGCGCUUGGAAAAUUUUCAUAUCCCAGCCAUGGCACACGAGAAGCCAUGGAACAUGAAAAACUGCACAAAUGGCAGAAAAUGUUGCAAAACUACAUGACCUGUGGGGCGGCUGCUGUGUGCGGCGAAAACUGAAAGAAAGAAAAAAAAAAGGGAAAAGAGGAACAAGAGCAAAGAGGAACCAGAAUCCAAGGACCAGAGGACCAGGACAACGAAGCACAUGCACAUAAAAUACGAUAACUGUGGACCAAAGUGCUAUAUAUGAAAGGUUGUAUAACACUCGAUGGCUUUCAAUAUGUGUCAUUUGGGUGUGUUCUGUUCGUAUGAGCCACAGGCCACAGAGCCCAUGAAAGAGCAGGGAAUAUUCAAGAAUUCUCUCUCCAGUAACGGCAAAAUGCAAUUCUACAACUUAUCUUUAUCAGUCCAUAGGGAUUAUAGUAGAUACGAU